rnacentral:rRNA from 1 species
UACGGGGGGGGCAAGCGUUGUUCGGAAUUACUGGGCGUAAAGCGCACGUAGGCGGACUACUAAGUCAGGGGUGAAAUCCCGGGGCUCAACCCCGGAACUGCCUUUGAUACUGAUAGUCUCGAGUCCGGAAGAGGUGAGUGGAAUUCCGAGUGUAGAGGUGAAAUUCGUAGAUAUUCGGAGGAACACCAGUGGCGAAGGCGGCUCACUGGUCCGGUACUGACGCUGAGGUGCGAAAGCGUGGGGAGCAAACAGG